UCCGAUAUGGUGUAGCGGGAACAUAGGUGCUUUUCAUUGAUAAUUUGACGCACUUGCCCGGGGUUCGACUCCCCGUCUCGGAA